rnacentral:piRNA from 1 species
UCCUGUGACUACCAUGACAAAACGUCAGUA